rnacentral:rRNA from 1 species
AUGGUAGCAAAAGGUCUAGGUUGGGAUGGUCACACAGUCGAGUAUGUUCCGCAACCCAAAGGCUAUGUUGAGUGGGGCAUCUCUAUAUUGAAUAACCACUCGUUUUGUUUGAAAGGAGAAGCGGAGAACACCGAUCACAUAUAUGGGGCCAUUUACUGCUCCCUCGGUGAAUAUGAAGUUUCAGAUUCGUUACUAAGGUCACUACUGGAAAGAUGGGAUCCAGAAACAAAUACUUCUCUUUUUUCAUCUGGUGAACACACCGUGACUCUGCUUGAGAUGCUUCUAAUGUCGGGUCUUCCUUCAGUUGGAGAUCCAUACGAGGAAUAUGUUCCCUCUAUAGAUGACCUAGAACCUUCAAAGCUUAUGUUCCCAAAUUUCUUAUCUGGCCUUUUAGAAUAA